rnacentral:rRNA from 1 species
AGCGAACGCUGGCGGCAGGCUUAACACAUGCAAGUCGAACGGGCGUAGCAAUACGUCAGUGGCAGACGGGUGAGUAACGCGUGGGAACGUACCUUUUGGUUCGGAACAACCCAGGGAAACUUGGGCUAAUACCGGAUAAGCCCUUACGGGGAAAGAUUUAUCGCCGAAAGAUCGGCCCGCGUCUGAUUAGCUAGUUGGUGAGGUAACGGCUCACCAAGGCGACGAUCAGUAGCUGGUCUGAGAGGAUGAUCAGCCACAUUGGGACUGAGACACGGCCCAAACUCCUACGGGAGGCAGCAGUGGGGAAUAUUGGACAAUGGGCGCAAGCCUGAUCCAGCCAUGCCGCGUGAGUGAUGAAGGCCCUAGGGUU